GACGAACGCUGGCGGCGUGCCUAAUACAUGCAAGUCGAACGCAGUGGGGACGGGUGAGUAACACGUGGGUAACCACCCAUCAGUGGGGAUAACAAUUGGAAACAGGUGGAAAACCGCCACUGGUGGAUGGACGGGCGGUGCAUUAGCUAGUUGGUGAGGUAACGGCUCACCAAGGCAACGAUGCAUAGCCGACUUUAGAGGGUGAUCGGCCACACUGGGACUGAGACACGGCCCAGACUCCUACGGGAGGCAGCAGUAGGGAAUCUUCGGCAAUGGACGAAAGUCUGAUCGAGCAACGCCGCGUGAGUGAAGAAGGUUUUCGGAUCGUAAAACUCUGUUGUUAGUGAAGCGGUAUCUAACCAGAAAGCCACGGCUAACUACGUGCCAGCAGCCGCGGUAAUAC
rnacentral:rRNA from 1 species